rnacentral:rRNA from 1 species
GCCAGCAGCCAUAUCACUCUGCAACUCACAACUGGCAGCCCACUGGAGCUCAGCAGGUGUGAGCCUGGUCAGUACCUGGAUGGGAGACCUCCUGGGAAAAACUAAGGCUGCUGCUGGAA